rnacentral:rRNA from 1 species
AUACGGAGGAUCCGAGCGUUAUCCGGAUUUAUUGGGUUUAAAGGGUGCGCAGGCGGCCAUUUAAGUCAGCGGUUAAAUCGUGGGGCUCAACCCCAUUCUGCCGUUGAUACUGGGUGGCUUGAUUGCGGUCGAGGUUGGCGGAAUUCGUUGUGUAGCGGUGAAAUGCAUAGAUGUGACGAAGAACACCGAUUGCGUAGGCAGCUGACCAGACCGCAAAUGACGCUCAUGCACGAAAGUGCGGGGAUCGAACAGGAUUAGAUACCCUGGUAGUCCGCACAGUAAACGAUGAAUACUUGUUUUCGGCGAUAUAAUGUCGGAGGCAAAGCGAAAGCGAUAAGUAUUCCACCUGGGGAGUACGCCGGCAACGGUGAAACUCAAAUGAAUUGGCGGGG